rnacentral:rRNA from 1 species
AUUGAACGCUGGCGGCAUGCCUUACACAUGCAAGUCGAACGGCAGCGGGGGAGAAGCUUGCUUUUCCUGCCGGCGAGUGGCGAACGGGCGAGUAAUGCCUCGGUAGGUGCUCGAACGUGGGGGCUAACGCAGCGAAAGCGACGCAAGUACCGCAUACGAUGCGAGGAUGCAAGCGGGGGACCGAAAGGCCUCGCGCGAUCGGCGAGGCCGAUAUCAGAUUAGCUAGUUGGUGGGGGAAAGGCCCACCAAGGCAACGAUCUGUAGCUGGUCUGAGAGGACGACCAGCCACACUGGAACUGAGACACGGUCAAGACUCCUACGGGAGGCAGCAGUGGGGAAUUUUGGACAAUGGGCGCAAGCCUGAUCCAGCAAUGCCGCGUGCAGGAUGAAGGCCUUCGGGUUGUAAACUGCUUUUGUACGGAACGAAACGGCGAGCUUUAAUACAGUUUGCUAAUGACGGUACCGUAAGAAUAAGCACCGGCUAACUACGUGCCAGCCGCCGCAGUAA